GCGUGGCCCGGCGGGCGGUGUCGGAGCCUCCCGCCAGCUGCGGGCAGCGGCCCCGAGCGCGGCCCCGGCAGCGCAGCCGGACCAGCGCCAGCCCCGCCGGAGCAGCGGCACCGGAGCGGGCCGGGCCGGGCCCGCAGCCCCCGCGCAGCAUGGCCGAGCCGCCGGCGGCAGCGCCGGCCCCCGAGGGCGAGGGCCCGGUGCGCUUCGCCCGCAAGGGCGCCCUGCGGCAGAAGAACGUGCACGAGGUGAAGAACCACAAGUUCACGGCGCGGUUCUUCAAGCAGCCCACCUUCUGCAGCCACUGCACCGACUUCAUCUGGGGCUUCGGCAAGCAGGGCUUCCAGUGUCAAGUUUGCUGCUUCGUGGUGCACAAGAGGUGCCAUGAGUUCGUCACCUUCUCCUGCCCCGGCGCCGACAAGGGCCCUGCCUCGGAUGAUCCCCGGAGCAAACACAAAUUUAAAAUCCACACGUACUCCAGCCCCACCUUCUGUGACCACUGCGGCUCGUUGCUGUACGGGCUCAUUCACCAGGGCAUGAAAUGUGACACCUGCAUGAUGAACGUGCACAAGCGCUGCGUGAUGAACGUGCCCAGCCUGUGCGGGACCGACCACACGGAGCGCCGCGGCCGCAUCUACAUCCGCGCCGACAUCGACAAGGACGUGCUCACCGUCGUAGUAAGAGAUGCUAAAAACCUAGUUCCUAUGGACCCUAAUGGCUUGUCAGAUCCCUACGUGAAGCUUAAACUAAUCCCUGACCCCAAAAACGAAAGCAAACAGAAGACCAAAACUAUCAAGUGCUCCCUGAAUCCUGAGUGGAAUGAGACAUUUAAAUUCCAGCUGAAGGAGGCAGACAAGGACCGGCGGUUGUCUGUGGAGAUCUGGGACUGGGAUCUGACCAGCAGGAACGACUUCAUGGGCUCCCUGUCCUUCGGCAUCUCGGAGCUGCAGAAGUCGGGCGUGGAUGGAUGGUUCAAGCUGCUCAGCCAGGAGGAGGGCGAGUAUUUCAACGUCCCCGUGCCCCCCGAGGGGGAAGAAGGAAACGAGGAGCUGAGGCAGAAGUUUGAGAGAGCCAAGAUUGGAACGGGGUCCAAGGCCGCGGAUGAGAAGACCAGAAAUGCCAUUUCCAAACUGGACAACAACGGCAGCCGGGACCGGAUGAAGCUCUCGGACUUCAACUUCCUGAUGGUGCUGGGAAAAGGCAGCUUUGGGAAGGUGAUGCUGGCAGAGAGGAAGGGCACGGACGAGCUCUACGCCGUGAAGAUCCUGAAGAAGGACGUGGUGAUCCAGGAUGACGAUGUGGAGUGCACCAUGGUGGAGAAGCGUGUCCUGGCCCUCUCGGGGAAGCCUCCCUUCCUCACCCAGCUCCACUCCUGCUUCCAGACCAUGGAUCGCCUGUAUUUUGUGAUGGAAUAUGUGAAUGGUGGGGACUUGAUGUACCAGAUCCAGCAGGUCGGGAGGUUCAAGGAGCCCCACGCUGUAUUCUACGCUGCAGAAAUAGCCAUCGGGCUCUUCUUCCUGCAGAGCAAAGGCAUCAUUUAUCGAGACCUGAAGCUGGACAAUGUGAUGCUGGACAGCGAGGGGCACAUAAAGAUCGCCGACUUUGGCAUGUGCAAGGAGAACAUCUGGGACGGGGUGACCACCAAGACCUUCUGUGGCACUCCGGACUACAUCGCGCCCGAGAUCAUUGCUUACCAGCCCUACGGGAAGUCUGUGGAUUGGUGGGCGUUCGGAGUCCUGCUCUACGAGAUGUUGGCUGGCCAGGCCCCCUUUGAGGGGGAGGAUGAAGACGAGCUCUUCCAGUCCAUCAUGGAGCACAACGUGGCCUACCCCAAGUCCAUGUCCAAGGAGGCAGUGGCGAUCUGCAAAGGGCUGAUGACCAAGCACCCUGCCAAGCGCCUGGGCUGUGGCCCCGAGGGGGAGCGGGACAUCAAGGAGCACGCCUUCUUCCGCUACAUCGACUGGGACAAGCUGGAGCGCAAGGAGAUCCAGCCCCCCUUCAAGCCAAAGGCUUGCGGGCGCAAUGCUGAAAACUUCGACCGGUUUUUCACUCGCCAUCCACCCGUGCUAACACCUCCCGACCAGGAAGUCGUCGGGAACAUUGACCAAUCAGAAUUCGAAGGAUUUUCCUUUGUUAACUCUGAGUUUUUUAAAGCUCAAGCCAAGAGCUAAGUUGCUGUGCAGAUCUCAUCCCUGCAUCUGUCAUCCGGUUCCAGCUGCAGUUGUGGUGACACAUUCCAUCGCAGAACUUGCAUCCGUGGGUUUUGUUUCGUUCAUUACUAGAGUGACCAUAUUUCAAUGUCUUCCUGUUAUUUGGGGUGUCACUGGAGGGGAGUGACAUGCAAGAACUGCCUCAAAUGGGUUUUUGUAACAUUUUGUUUGUAGAAAAUGGGAACAGCUCAGUGGGUGACAGAAUGAAAACAGAGACAGUGACAACUGGGAGAAAUCCCUUCAUCAUGUGCUUUAAUUCCUGCUCUUUCCUUUUUCUAGUGUUUUAAUAUCAUCAUGAAUUUUUUAUAUUUAGCUUUCUUAGCCUUAAUGGCAAGUAAGUGUUUUUAAUGAAACCAUUCCCCGGAGUCUCCUCCCGAAAGCUCUGGAGAGCCAAGACGCUGGUUCUGGCUCCUUUUCUGGCUGUAUCCUGCUGUGCCCAGCCCCACCACAGCUCCCCUGCCCUGCACAGAUGCUCUGGGCCAGCUUGACCCUGGUGCUGGGUCCCAGCAGUGGGAGAAGUUGCUCGGGAAGGCAGAGCUGCCAUGUGCAGAGAUUUCUCCUGAUUGUGCAGUUUCUAAGUAGCAUUUUUUAAAAUCAGAGCAAACAUCCAGUGGUAAAUGGGAAAUUUGGGAGAGCUGCUUUUGAAUCUGUGGUCACCCUAGUAAACACCACCAACAUCCAUUCCAUAGCAAAGCUUCUUCUUCUUUUCCAAUGCCAAAGCCAUUGAUGGGGUUUGUUACCUGUGCUUGAAAUGUGUCAAAAAUGGUAUUGGCCCGAAUGGGAGAUAUUUAACUCUGACCAGUAUUGUGAACUCUGAUACAAAGCGUGUAAAGAAACUUGUUUCAGCAGAUACUUCUAUCCUUAAAAACUGCCUCUAGAUAUUUAAAUGGCCCGAGUUUUGUUUCUGGCGUCAAAGGAAACAUUUCAGGAAGGGUGAAUGUCUCUUGAAAGGACAACAAUCACACUGCUUCCUUUUAUACCCUUGCAGAUGUUCGUGGGCUGUCACUGUAUCAAUCUGCUUGAUUUGUAAUGUGCCAAUUUAUUUUUUUUUCUGAUACUGAUUAUAAAAUAAAAGUGAGAAAACGCCCCAGAAACCUGCCCGUGUUUGGCAAUACUGAGUUUCUGCAGCUCAGCUUGGUGGCUCCUUCCGACCGCCGGGGCUGGGAGCUGCCCCGGCUGCUGGGGGAUGCCGGCUCGUUCUUCCCCUGCCUUUGUCCCAAAAAUCUGGCUGGGAUGUGCUGGAAGCACCGUCCAGGAGGGAGCGAUGCCCGCAGCGCCUUGAGCAGAGCUGCGGCAGCGCCUCGCACUCCCGGAGACUGCAGAGCCCGGCGAGGCAGUGAGUGCCGGUGACUCAUCCGUCCAUCCGUCCGUCCAUCCAUCCGUCCAUCCAUCCGUCCAUCCAUCCGUCCGUCCGUCCGUCCUGCCUGCCCCAGGAGCGCUUGUGAGAAGCGAUUGGCACUGCCAGCUGAAGAGGGAUUACAGGUUCCUGUAAACCUCCCUGCUGCCUUUGGGAAUCUGCGUCUGCCAAGUUCUGCGGCUCCGGACGCUGCAAGGUUGUUCCGAGAGGUCCCAAGCAUCGGCGGGAGCCACGCCGUGUCACCACCACACUGUGUCACCACCAAGCUCUGUCACUGCCACACUGUGCCACAGCCACGCCGUGCCACAGCCACACCAUCCCGCUGUGCCCCUCACUGUGCUCCCUGCACCUCCCAGGGUCAGUUCAUCACUGCUGGAGGCGCUUUCAGCCCUGAGCGUCCCCUGCGCUCCCUCUCUCCGUGAGACCCCCGCAGCCGUUCCCUGCCUGCUCCCUGGCUCUUCAUCAUCUCGACAGAGGCCAAAUUGCCACCAGUUCAGGCAGAAUCCAAGCAUCCCACAGUGUUCCUACUCAGGAGAAGCUCCUGCCUUGGUAGGACAGUGCUGUCCUGGCCCAGGUUGCUUUGGAUGGAUGUGGCCUCCAAGAACCCUCCAGGAGCCGGGGCCACUUGUCACAGAGAGACCCGAGCACAGCCACGGCCACUGCCAGGAAACACCCGGCCCUCAGCCCUGGGGACCCUGCUGCCAUCGAGGUGGGCUUGUCCUCACAUUCUGACUGCUUCGCCCUUUGCCUGCAGAGCUCUGCACUGAAGUUGACCCCUCCACCUGUCUGCCCUUCCCUGCUCCUGCUCUGUGCCCCCAUAUCCACAUCUUCUUCCUUCUGUGUGCUGGAGAGGAGCCCACAGGGACUCUGUCGCUCAGGGACAGGCUGGGGACACCAGCGCCCUCCAGAGCAUCGCCGUGUGCUCAAGGCCUGACAGCACAGCCACGUCCUGCCUCUUCUGCCUCUUCUCCUGCCUCUUCUCCUGCCUCUUCUCUCUCGGCUCCUCGAGUUCCAUCCAGACCUGUUUUCCUUCCCACCUCGUCUCUUCUCCCUCAUCCUUGGCUUUUCCUGAUCUUCCUCCCCAAGGCUAAAGCCAUCCUGAUGGGAUGUCUGCUAUGGCAAGUGGAAUCUCCAAGCACCCCCAGAGGUCCUGAUGCACUCCUGGCUCAUCUCCCAGGGCUCAAUCCAGCUGCAGCUGGGUGUGGUGCUCCUGGCCUGCCCAGGCUGGCUGGAGGACCUGGCUCUGUGUCCUGGCCACGCUCCUGCUUGAGGCAUGAGGGUGCCCCAGUGUCCCAUCGGGCCGAGAGGGGCUGCAGGGAGGACUCAGCAUCUCUCCUGCCAGGUCCUUCACCAGGACAGCAGUGCGAGGUCAGCCAUGGGGUGGGGUGGGGUGCAGGACCUGCAGGACCCCCACAGUUGCCUUCCUCAGUUCAAGCUGGCAGAUUAACCCAGGGUUGGGAAUCCUGGUGCAGCAGAGCACAGCGAGGACCUGGCAUGGUGGGGCCACACUUCAAGGGCAAAAUCUGAGAAAAGUGGAAAACAAAUACAGGUUUCUGCAAGGCAUUGAAUUUGGGACGGGGUCCUACCUGUGUCACUGGAGGGGAAGGUCACCUGCAGCAGGGAGUUGGGGUCUCUCCUGUACAGGGCCAUGGAAGAGGGGGUGGAGAAGUCUUUUGUCCCUGUUGGCUUUAGCGACGAGGCAGAGCAGAGCCAGUUCCUGGCUGGCAAUGUCCCUCCACUGCCAUCGCUGUGGGUGAAGCACCUGGGGUGCUUGUGCUGUACCUUCAGUGCUCAGUCACCCCUCCAGCCACGGCUCUGUCACCCCCCACAGCAGGACAGCCCCGAGCCAGGCGCUCUCUGAUCUGCAGGGUUUGGAGGAGCAGCCCACGCGCUCCAGCGCCGGCUCUGCAGUGCUGAUAGCAGGUUCCCACACUAAUCCUGACACUAACGUCCUUUUUUUCCCUUUUUUGGCUUGGAUGUAGCUGCAAAGUUGUUCUUCAUAAGAAAUUGCAAGGAGAAAAUGUUGCAUAUGUGGAAUUUUCCUUCUCAGAGGUUUUGAAGUGCUGUGUGUUUUCUCUGUACAAUCCUGGAGCAAAUCACAUCCUCCAUCAAUGAACCAGUGUUGGUCAACACCAUAUCAUGGCAUCAUUCAAAAAUCAAGCUUAAAGCAGAAAGAGCUCUUACAGCUGAUUGUUUUGUGCAAAUUUUGACAUGGUGGUGACUGCUGCUGCUAUUUUGAGGCAUGUCGCUUCCUCCAGGCUCCUUCCUCCUGUGCAGCGCCGAGCUCUGGUUGCGGUGAGGGUUCUGCAUGCUGAGAACUGCUCCGUGCUCUCUCCUCAGUGCACAGCAGGGGAGGGACGCUCCCUUCUGACACGCCCGGCUCUCACCUGUCCCUCUGUGUCCUGGGUGUGUUUCAGGCGUGUUAAACCGGUGCUCUCCUCUUCCUGCCGUGGUGCGGGGCUGCUUCUGUUGUACAGGGCUGUGAGCUCCUGCUCGGUGGCAGCUUGAGAAAGCAGCGUGGAGUGUGGAGUGCUGGGACAGCGCGGCUCCCCUGGGGACACUGUGGCUCCCAUGGGGACACUGUGGCUUCCCUGGGGACACCACGGCUUCCCCAGACACAGCGCCCUCGGGUGCUGUCCCCACUGUGGGUGCUGCCCCCACCGCGGGUGCCGUCCCCUCUCGCUGCCUCACUCCUUCCCCAGUUUAACUCUGUGCUUUCCG